UUGCGGCAUGGGAUGGGGUCGCGUCCUAUCAGCUUGUUGGCGGGGUGAUGGCCCACCAAGGCGUUGACGGGUAGCCGGCUUGAGAGGGUGACCGGCCACAUUGGGACUGAGAUACGGCCCAGACUCCUACGGGAGGCAGCAGUGGGGAAUAUUGCACAAUGGGCGCAAGCCUGAUGCAGCGACGCCGCGUGCGGGAUGGAGGCCUUCGGGUUGUAAACCGCUUUUGUUCAAGGGCAAGGCACGGUUUCGGCCGUGUUGAGUGGAUUGUUCGAAUAAGCACCGGCUAACUACGUGCCAGCAGCCGCGGUAAUACGUAGGGUGCGAGCGUUAUCCGGAUUUAUUGGGCGUAAAGGGCUCGUAGGCGGUUCGUCGCGUCCGGUGUGAAAGUCCAUCGCCUAUCGGUGGAUCUGCGCCGGGUACGGGCGGG
rnacentral:rRNA from 1 species